rnacentral:rRNA from 1 species
GAUGAACGCUGGCGGCGUGCCUAAUACAUGCAAGUCGAGCGAACAGACGAGGAGCUUGCUCCUCUGACGUUAGCGGCGGACGGGUGAGUAACACGUGGAUAACCUACCUAUAAGACUGGGAUAACUUCGGGAAACCGGAGCUAAUACCGGAUAAUAUAUUGAACCGCAUGGUUCAAUAGUGAAAGACGGUUUUGCUGUCACUUAUAGAUGGAUCCGCGCCGCAUUAGCUAGUUGGUAAGGUAACGGCUUACCAAGGCGACGAUGCGUAGCCGACCUGAGAGGGUGAUAGGCCACACUGGAACUGAGCCACGGUCCAGACUACUACGGGAGGCAGCAGUAGGGAAUCUUACGCAAUGGGCGAAAGCCUGACGGAGCAACGCCGAGUGAGUGAUGAAGGUCUUCGGAUCGUAAAACUCUGUUAUUAGGGAAGAACAAAUGUGUAAGUAACUAUGCACGUCUUGACGGUACCUAAUCAGAAAGCCACGGCUAACUACGUG